UACGGGGGGGGCAAGCGUUGUUCGGAAUUACUGGGCGUAAAGGGCUCGUAGGCGGCCAACUAAGUCAGACGUGAAAUCCCUCGGCUUAACCGGGGAACUGCAUCUGAUACUGGAUGGCUUGAGAUUGGGAGAGGGAUGCGGAAUUCCAGGUGUAGCGGUGAAAUGCGUAGAUAUCUGGAGGAACACCGGUGGCGAAGGCGGUUCUCUGGGCCUGGCCUGACGCUGAGGAGCGAAAGCGUGGGGAGCGAACAGG
rnacentral:rRNA from 1 species